AUUAGGGGGAAGGCUUAACCCAUUCAUAAACAUAGCAGUUUCAGAGAAACUGCUAUGUUUAUGAAUGGGUUAAGCCUUCCCCCUAAUCCUCUAGU
rnacentral:miRNA from 1 species